AUGCCCUUUACUAUUCAAGCUCCUUCUACAUGUUUUUAUUCAACUGCAUCUUGCACCAGGCAUCAAACAAGCCCAAGACUAUUAUGUGCUGAAAGCUUUCCCUGUGGAGCGAGCUGCUUGGAUCCGCCUGGUGUUUUCCAGUCCAUCUCCCCAGUGAGACAUGCAGACAAGUUAAAACAGGCACAUUUCAACAGGGCCCAGAAAGAGGAUGGCGGAGGAUUUGUCAGGCACACAAGGGCUGCCUCCCCUCGCUCCCUGUCCUUUGCAGUGGAAAUGGGGAAGCAGCCACAGCACCACUCCCCCAGUGAUGGGGACCAUCAGGGCUGGUGCUGGUGGAUUCCAGGGCUGGGAAGAAAAGAAGCUGUGCCCCAUGGUGGAGGUGAGGACACCCAAAAGCUGGGACUGGUGAGUGUAGAAGGACAGGAUGUGUCUCUGGACGGUUAUUCCCUGCUGUGGAGGGGUUUUGCAGCCAACGGGCCAUCCUGCUGCUGCGGGCUCACUCCAUCAUCAAGGCAAACCUUGGGAAAGGCCCCAGGACUGGUGCUGGGGCAGCCCGUGGGAAUGGGCUGGAGCAGGAACCCCCGCGGGGCCAUUUCCCAAAGGCAGCGUCAAUCCUGCCACCUCCUCCUGCCACCCCUGCGGCGCCUCCGCACCCGCUCCCGUGCUGCCCGUGGCCCCCCGCCGGGCAGGGACUCCCCAGGCCCGCGGCCACGGCGCGGGGAAGGCAGGAUGGCAAACUUCACACCAUGGUGUCAGGCCAGCUCCCAGCACGCCGCCACCUCCUCCUCCUCCUUCGGCUAUAGCUGCGAACGCAUCAGCGGCAGUAAAGAGGUUAAUGGGAGCGGGAGGAGGGAGCGGGGGAGAGCGAAGCUGUUCCCAUGAACUGGCUCCAAGGCUUUUACAGAAGCGGAGCAUCUGGCCACGGGGCUCAUUUGCCCCGGAGCAGAUGGUCCUGUCCUCUGUCCCCGGCCUGGGCGGUGGGGCUGGGGCUGAUGCUGAGCCCGAGGAGCCUUUUGUCACUCGGAGAUUUCGCAGGAGGCAGCGCUGAGUCCCACGGGGAGGGGGAGAGAGAGAGGAGAGGUCCCUGGGAUUUCUCAGGAGUUCUCAGCCUAAACAAGCUCCUGUAGGUGAUUUUUUUAAAGCCUCCAGAGCUCAGGGCUGACCCCUUCACCCAGAGCCCCAGUGCUGGGCUCACAAGGUCCAAGCAUGCCCUGCAGGCUGCUGUGGGGCUGCCUGUGUCCAUACCGGGGACAUCCACCCCAAAACCAGCCGCCACACUCACCACGGGGCUGAGCAAGAUGUUGUGUGGAGAGCACCCUUGCCAAGGAUGCCACAAAAAAAGAUUUACGAUGUGAUGGUU
rnacentral:lncRNA from 1 species